UACGUAGGGGGCAAGCGUUAUCCGGAUUUACUGGGUGUAAAGGGAGCGUAGACGGCAGCGCAAGUCUGGAGUGAAAUGCCGGGGCCCAACCCCGGAACUGCUUUGGAAACUGUGCAGCUUGAGUGCGGGAGAGGUAAGUGGAAUUCCUAGUGUAGCGGUGAAAUGCGUAGAGAUAUGGAGGAACACCAGUGGCGAAGGCGGCUUCCUGGUCUGCAACUGACACUGAGGCGCGAAAGCGUGGGGAGCAAACAGG
rnacentral:rRNA from 1 species